rnacentral:lncRNA from 1 species
AACAACCAAAAAGUUAUGUAAGGUAACAUUUGAACCUGCAAAUGACAUGAGUCUUAAAGGAAAUAUAAAUAGACAAAUUCAUUCAUUAUCCUAUCAUCCACAAAAAUCAAUUUAUAUGGCCAAAGAAAAAGGACACAUCAACUUAAAAAUACGUGUACGAAACAAAGAGGUCUCGCUAUUUAUUUAUUGUGUUCCUAUUUUUUAACUCCAAUUUGAAAACAUGAAUCAUUGCUUGACUUUCCCCUUCUUUCCAUUACCGCGUCAAAAUUGAGGUGAGGAUCCACAAACGGCCUAACUUCAACCUACGUCGUUAUUCCACGUGUCACACAAUGGAAGCCUCAACGACUUUUCCAGCAAAGGGAGCACAGCGAUCCUAUUCGCCUAACCCCCAAUUUUGACCUUUGUUCCUGUCAAAAUAAUUCCAUUUUUUAAUUAGAAGCAGUAAACAUCAGCACUUGGAACAUUCCUAGAAAACGCAACCGUUUCAAUUCAUAAUUUCUGAUACCCUGAACCCGUUCAACCCCACUAUAAUAUUAUCUUCUUCAUCCUUUGACGGAAGAUUUCAAUGCAAAUAUGUGGUUACGUCGAAUACAUAGGUACACACUAGAAAAAUAAAAAACCCCAACAAAUCAAAGCAGCCGGCUUCAACUUCCAGAAACAAGAAAAAGAACGUUUAGACUUGUUUGUUCUCUCAUUAUCUACCAUCCCCCAUAAAGCUUUCCUUCGUUUCCAUUUUUUUCAACGUCCAGAAAGAGCGAAAGCAAGGAAAAAGAGAUGAAGCAUCAAGUUUUUGUGAUUACCAUUUUGGUUUCGCUCUCAUCAUUCGCUUCAGUUUCAGCUAGAUUCUUUCCAAAUAUAACAGCUAUUCCGCCAUGGCCACUUCCUAACGCCACCUCACUCGCCCCUUGGGAUGCCUUCAAGAAAUUCGCCGGUUGCCAGUCGGGCGAAA